ensembl:lncRNA
GUCCAGGCAGGCCAGCCAAGUUAUGGCGCAUGAUCCCACACCACGGGGGACUGUGCGUGGAGGACCCCACCUCCAGGCUUCCCCACUUCCUCUGGGCCCUGGUCUGCAGGAAGAAGCAGCACAUGCAUGUGUAAUGGGUAUCAGAGUGGAUGCCCGCCUGCACCGCUAGAGAGGCCAGUCUACGUUACCUCAGAUGUCCCUUAACAUGCGUAGAAGGCUCUUCUCAGCAAGUCACGUGAGAUCUGUGACUGGGGAAGGAGAAUAUGCUUUCCCAAUCAUGACAGACCACAAGAUUCCCUUUGGUCUUUCACAACCCGAAUUCAUGAGAGCAGGCUUCCAGAAGGAAGUGGAGUGUGAACCGACAGCUUUAGAAAAGAGAGAUCUAACGUUCUGUGAUUCCACCAAAAGCGGCAGAUCUGAAAACCUGACAUUUCCCUGGAGAAGAUGGAACAUAAACGAGGAACAGAGAAAUCCUGUUCAAGAGGCAGAGCAAAAAGAGCAAUGUCUUUAA